GCACUUCCUAAUGCUAAACCCUAAAUUAAAGAUCUUAAUUUAGAAAUUAAAUAAAAAUAAUUCAUAAAUUGAAUCUUUCUUGGCUGCAUUAGACAUCCAUUAGGUGAAAGUUUUUACCUAUUAUCUAAUACCAUUGAAAACUGUAAAAUAAAUAUAUGGAAUACGCCACCAUAGCUUUUCUCCUUUUUCCACUUCUUUAUUUCACAAAGUACAUAAUUUAGUAAAACCAUCUUAAGAAAACACAAACCAAAUAAAUUUAAGAUAUUAAUCACUCAUUCUUCAAUUGCCACCAAAUAAUGAAAGUAGCUUUAGAAACAUGGAACUAAUUCCCUGUGUUUGUUACACUCAUUUAAAAUGAUCAAUCUUUAGUUGAUUAGUCAAAAUUCUAACAUGACCACAAGAUGAUCUUAUCAAGACAAUGAAAUAAAAACUGAAGAGAAUUGUGCUUUACCUUGUAGA
rnacentral:misc_RNA from 1 species